GUCCUGCUUGAGAUCAGCAGAAAGAUGGGAGCUCAUCCCUCCGCGGGAGCCUGAGUUGUGAGAGGGAAGAGACUCUGUCAAUCAUGGAAAAAGGAAUUUGGCCUGAAGUCCUGUGAAGUCUGUGGAAAACUUCCAAGGGUUUCAUCUGGCUUUGUGUCAGUAUUUUGAGGGAACUGGAAAUAUUUCCUCGAGAAUGCCCUCCCUUUCUCUCCCUUUUCACCUGCCUCUGUUGCUUUGGUGCCCAAAACCGCGACAUUUGGUUUUGCUGCUUUGUUUUUGAACCCGUUCUGAUGUUUUGUUCCUCUGCCUUGUUCAGAUUUGGAGCUGCAGCUCGAGGAGCAGCCAGUCCCCAGAGUAUCGUUCCGUGCAGGCGGCCAUCCCAGCUCCAGCCAAAUCCCACCCACCCUCCGAGGUGUGGCACUGGGAAAGAGAAAGGGGAGAAAGAAGAAAAGCAAACAGCCCUGGAGAACCAGUCACACGUGGCUUCCCUGGUCCCGUUUCAUCCCUGCACAGCUGACUUCCAGAACCUGUAGGAAAUUGGAGAUGGACGUGAGCAGGAGUAGGAGUUGUGAGUGAAAAAAAAAGAACCCGCAGCUGCUCAAGCCUGGGCCUGUCUCUGGGAUGCCUCCAGGACUCUGAAGUGAUGCCAGCGAAGCAUAAAGUCACGCUCCACCCAUGGCCCGCCGUCUCCUCCUGAGGAAGGCAUCCCAGGACCUGUUUGGGUGUUGAGACGACAGACACAGAACCAGGGCACUGGAGUAAGAUCUCAGACAUCUGACUUCAUCAAUUCUUCUGAAAAAGGCAAGCUUUUUUUUUGUUUUUUCUCCAUAUUUCUCUCAGGACGAAGGCGUUUGCCAAUGCGAUUGACGGCAUUACCAGACAGUAUUAGACAAAACUAGCCAGAUCUAACUUUGCCUGGUAAGACAGCAAUCAGCAGGCUCUCGGGCUAAAGGAAACCACCAGCAUUAAAGGACUUUCUCCAGCUCCAAGACUAAAAAGACAGGGCAGGGGAAGGCUGAGGGCCUCUCCCUUAGACAAAGCAAUAACCGGUAAAUAUUUAACCUGGUGUACUUGCUGAUUGUGAGGC